rnacentral:rRNA from 1 species
GCACAAGCGGUGGAGCAUGUGGUUUAAUUCGACGCAACGCGCAGAACCUUACCAGCCCUUGACAUCCCGGUCGCGGACUCCAGGGACGGAGUUCUUCAGUUCGGCUGGACCGGAGACAGGUGCUGCAUGGCUGUCGUCAGCUCGUGUCGUGAGAUGUUGGGUUAAGUCCCGCAACGAGCGCAACCCCCGUCCUUAGUUGCUACCAUUUAGUUGAGCACUCUAAGGAGACUGCCGGUGAUAAGCCGCGAGGAAGGUGGGGAUGACGUCAAGUCCUCAUGGCCCUUACGGGCUGGGCUACACACGUGCUACAAUGGCGGUGACAAUGGGACGCUAAGGGGCAACCCUUCGCAAAUCUCAAAAAGCCGUCUCAGUUCGGAUUGGGCUCUGCAACUCGAGCCCAUGAAGUUGGAAUCGCUAGUAAUCGUGGAUCAGCAUGCCACGGUGAAUACGUUCCCGGGC